AGAUAGGGCCAAGAGGUGACAACAGCUGCACCAGGCUGGGAGGCAUCUGCCAACCAAACCGAUUCAUCUGCCAAGGCAGGUACCUAAAAGACAAGUGUUCAGGGAUCAAGAAGCGGCAGUGUUGUAUGCCAGUUGGAGCCUGGAGUGUCCUUUGCGCUGGUCACCACAACAACAGAGUGAGGGCAUGCGAUGUGCACGGCUGUGGAGCUUUCAACUCCAAAAGAGGUAAUGGCCUCCAUAAAGC